rnacentral:rRNA from 1 species
GCUGAUUAGCUAGUUGGUGAGGUAAAGGCUCACCAAGGCGACGAUCAGUAGCUGGUCUGAGAGGAUGAUCAGCCACACUGGAACUGAGACACGGUCCAGACUCCUACGGGAGGCAGCAGUGGGGAAUUUUGGACAAUGGGGGAAACCCUGAUCCAGCCAUUCCGCGUGAGUGAAGAAGGCCUUCGGGUUGUAAAGCUCUUUCAGGAGGGAAGAAACGGUUGCAGCUAAUACCUGCGACUAAUGACGGUACCUUCAGAAGAAGCACCGGCUAACUACGUGCCAGCAGCCGCGGUAAUACGUAGGGUGCGAGCGUUAAUCGGAAUUACUGGGCGUAAAGGGUGCGCAGGCGGUUCUGUAAGUCAGAUGUGAAAUCCCCGGGCUCAACCUGGGAACU